CUCUAAAUUACAAAACACAGUAUUGAUUUAGAAUACAGGAUGUGAAGUUUUAAUGAUCCAAACUCCAAACUUCUAGAUCAAAUCUUCUCUCCUCUUUCAGCCAGCACAGUAUUCAGGUGGGCUCCCUGUUUUUGGAAAGAGUAUAUGGAUAGCUUCUCCUCCUCCUGCUCUUGGUCUGAUGUUUCCUGACCUGAUGUCAAGCCCUUCUGUAACUGUGCACAUGGGAGAAAAGAAAGAAAAGAGGAUAAGAAAGUCCUCAGUGGAAUCUUUAGUGCUGUAAGCUAGCUUUGGCUCCUGGGUGGGCAGAUGACUGACUUAUGACUCUUAUGGAGUAUCUUGGUGGAUUCCUCAGAUCCUUAUAUCUGAGACUUCUUGAUGCCAUGCCUCAGCAGGCACAUUGCUCUUUCUGUGUGAUCUUCUGAGAUGUUUCCACCAAUCCCUAGGAAUUCUAAGUCCACAUUCAACUUUUCAUUGCUGGAAUCCCUUCACCCUUCUAGAGACCCAAGACAAUUCCAAUCCCUGCACUUUUUUACGUAGGAAAUUUUCACUUAUCUUUAAACCUGAGCAACUCAGAGAAGAAGUCUAGGCUGAGUGUCAUGCAGCUGGGGACCACCUGGUUCCUCCUGAGCAUUCAGCCUUUGUACCCUCCAAGGGAAUGUCAGGCUCCAGCCCACCGUAUUCCCAUUUUGGGGCUGCAUAUUACGCUCUCUUAUUAGUUCUCUUGAAGCUUGGGUUCCUUCCUUCAUCAUUGAGCUUUAAGUGUAGGAUGAGCAUUCCCAAUGCUUCUCUGUUGGGUAUCAAUAUCUCAGAGAUAGGGAGAGGCCACACGAGGACACAGUGGGAUCUCCGUGAUUCCUAUCUCACGUUUGCUCCCCAUCACCACCCUUCCUGCCCCUAUCCUUCCACACUUCGGGGCUAAGUGGAGAGUGGUGGUUUCAG
rnacentral:lncRNA from 1 species